rnacentral:rRNA from 1 species
AUUGAACGCUGGCGGCAGGCUUAACACAUGCAAGUCGAACGAGUGGCGGACGGGUGAGUAAUGCUUGGGAAUCUAGCUUAUGGAGGGGGAUAACUACGGGAACCUGUAGCUAAUCCCGCGUACCAUAGGAUGAGCCCAAGUGGGAUUGGGUAGUUGGUGGGGGAAAGGCUCACCAGGCCGACGAUCUCUAGCUGGUCUGAGAGGAUGACCAGCACCACUGGGACUGAGCCACGGCCAAGACUCCUACGGGAGGAAGCAGUGGGGAAUAUUGGACAAGGGCGGAAAGCCUGAUGAAGAAAUGCCGCGUGGAUGUAGAAGGCCCUAGGGUUGUAAAGUACUUUCAGUCGGGAGGCGGUACCGACAGAAGAAGCCCCGGCUAACUCCGUGCCAGCAGCCGCGGUAAUAC